rnacentral:rRNA from 1 species
UACAGAGGGUGCGAGCGUUGUCCGGAAUCACUGGGCGUAAAGGGCGCGUAGGCGGCUCUGUGAGGUUGCGGUGAAAGCCCGGGGCUCAACCCCGGGUCGGCCGUGGCAACUGCUGGGCUCGAGCACUGUAGAGGCAGGUGGAAUUCCGGGUGUAGCGGUGGAAUGCGUAGAGAUCCGGAAGAACACCGGUGGCGAAGGCGGCCUGCUGGGCAGUGACUGUAAUGGUCAAUAGCUGACGCUGAGGCGCGACAGCGUGGGGAGCAAACAGG